GUGAUUCACAGCCCGAUUUAUGCUUGUAUGAUCAUCAUUUGACUUCAUUGUGGCUACAUUUGGGUACAUUUGGGUAAUUAGUGGGACCGUAUUUUUACAGCUAGCAAGAGUAUGAGGAAAGCCACUUAGUUCUUGGCGAAUUGUAACCAUGGUAGGUCUACAGGAAUUAAGUAGUGGGGCUGUGGCAGAAUCCUAUUACUAUUUACAAACUACAUAUUCAGGUAACCUGUUCGGUUGAUGCUCCAGUGUACUAUAGGUGUGAUCUCUGUGUUAGGUGGUUUUGUGAAAAGUAUGCCAUUAUGUUUGUAUACUGUACUUGAAGUUGUAUUGUACUUCACAGUGUAUCAAACAGGAAGUGUUUCAAACAGGAAGUGUAUUGUUGGUACUCCAGUGUACGAUGUAUAAGGGUAGUGUGGUGUCUUGUUUAAAGAUACACCAAGUAUGGGUGAUUGUGGAAUACGUAAGGUACCUUGUUGACAAGUGUCUUACCCUCGAGUCAUGCCACCUCAGGUUAGAAGUAAAGUCAGAAAGUAUAGUAAUUGUUGAAGUAGUGGGACAGAGAGAGAAAGUAAAGUAAGGUAUUUUAGGAAGUAGAUCCCCUUCAUUGGUUUUUUCCCCUGCCCCUACAAUGGUGACAGCUGUAGGGAUGUAAUUUAAUAUGGUAUCAAGUUGGGAAGAAUGAACGUGGUGCUGUGGGCAGUUUUUAUCUGUGAUUCGUAAUAACCAUUUCUCUGUACGGGUACCUAAUAACCAUUUCUCUGUAUCUAGUGAUUAUUCCAGUUUGCUAAUAAGUUUUUAUUUUUUUGUGAAUUCUGUACGAGUUAGGUAGGGACAUAAUUAUUCCAUAGGUACUUAUUGUUUUUGUGGAAACAGUGUUGAUGGAGUGUACAGAAUUUUUUCUUUGUGUUUUGGCGGAGAAUUGAAAGAACAUUUUACAGUUAAAUAUUUUACUUGGAAGUUAGGUAAGUAAGAACAAUUGGCUAAGAUUUACUUUUUGAGUAAAUUAUUCUUGCAAUACUGUGGUAUGGUAUCGUAAAAUAUUCAGAGUAAGAAUGCCUAACUUUUGGUUUCUCGAAGAAUAUCUUUGGUCUGUGAUAUUAGAAUUCUAGAUGAUGUUCAUUAAUUCAUGGUGUUGAUAAUCUGCCAAACUUUUUUUCCAACCUGUGUUAAUUCAGUUAUUACUUACAGACAGUGAGAAUAUGUUUGGGCCAUGGCAUUAGUGUUUUGGUAAAGUAUUUCAUCACAGUAGUCGUCCAAGGUUAAGUGGAUGUGUACUUUGUAGCUGUAACAUUCAUUAAAUAUUUAUGUGUUAGGUAGGACAUGGCCUAACGUUUAAUAUUUUGUAGUGUGUGUAUUGAUAUUCCUGUAUAAUUUUUGUGUAUGCUGUAUGCUUUUUGAUUUUAACGAUAUAUUUUAGAAGGUGCUAACCUAAGAUUUUAAAUGCAGAGUGGUUCAUUUUUGGCCUUGUGUGGAGUAGCUAACUUUAUUGUUGGUAUUUGUGGUGCUCUGUUAUGUGAGAUCUAAUGCCCAGUAUAAUUUCAGAGUAUUGCCUUUGAUUGUGUUUGAGGACCUUACGGUGAUACUGUAUGUGGACACCAAGUGGAUGCAACCUUUCAAAAUAGAUUCUUGUACAGUGUAUGAACCCGCAAUUGAGGACCUGGUUCCUACUGGGGUUUGUACUGUCUCACUUAAUUCUCAUCUUACUUACUUGUGGAUCAAACUUUAUUUUAUCUUAUGGUUGAGGACAAGACUUUGACAAAGGUGUGAUUGGACAGAUGUAAGAAAGAAAUAUUAUGGUAGCAUCAGGAGGCCAUCCCACACAAACAUCUCCCACCACAACCAAGAAUUAAAGCUCUAUAAAACAAGAGGCAGAACAAUUCCUCACAACUGUACAAUAAGUCGAUACAGUAUGAGGAUUAGUGAACAUCUUCUAGAGAACAUUGCAAGCAAGAUUAAGGUAAAUUGUCAACUCUUCAAGUCUUAAGUUACAAAUAUGAAAGUCAAGUUCGCAUUCUAGGAAACAGUGAGAAUAAAAAGAACGUUCACACGAGUGGAUCUUUCUCCUGAAAAUGUCAGCUAAGUGUUGCACUGUGUUAUAUAUUGUUUAACUACAGUAUGAUGAGUGUUGCAAUGUUUCUACCUAAACAUUUACCUUGUGACUCUUGUGCUUGUGUACACUGCUGAUAAAAGUUCCAAUAUAUAAAUGUGACAAGUGCUUGUCUGCUGUGUUUGUAUACUGGUGAGAUAAAGUUCACUUGUGGUAAAUAUUUCUCAUACAAUAGUGAGCUCAAGAACCACACACAUGUGCAGAAUUAUUUAUGCCAAUUUAGCUGUGAACACUGAAGGAAGUAUUUUCUUGUAUGGAGUGUUGUAAAGUGUGUAAAAGAUGGCCCAGUUUAUGAAUGAAAUGGAUGGACAUGGUGGCCAAAAUAAUUAUGAGUGUGUACAGUGUGGUGAAUUAUUUUACAGUAAUGAAUCUUUGAAGAUGCAUACCUGUAUGGCUGAACACAUUGAUGAGAUAGAUAUUAAGUAUGAAGAAGUUGAUGAGAGUUUUAACAGUAACUAUGAUGUGACACAACAUGUGACUGUUGAUGAGAAAGAUAUUAAGUGUGAAGAGUUUGAUGAGAGUUUUAACAGUAACUAUGAUGUGACACAACAUGUGACUGUUGAUGAGAAAGAUAUUAAGUGUGAAGAGUUUGAUGAAAGUUUUAACAGUAAUUAUGAUGUG